UCUGGGCAUGGUGCCACACACUUUUAAUCCCAGCACUCAGGAGGCAGAGGCAGGUGGACUUCUGAGUUUGAGGCCAGCCUGGUCUACAAAGUGAGUUCCAGGACAGCCAGGGCUAUACAGAGAAACCCUGUCUCUGAAAAAGAGAGAGAGAGGAGAGAGAGAGAGAGAGGGUCUUACCAUGUAGCUUUGACUGUCCUGGAACUCACUCUGUAGACCAGACUGGCCUCAAACUUAGACAUCCACCUGCCUCU
rnacentral:sRNA from 1 species